GACGAACGCUGGCGGCGUGCUUAACACAUGCAAGUCGAGCGGUAAGGCCCUUUCGGGGGUACGACGAGCGGCGAACGGGUGAGUAACACGUGGGUGACCUGCCUCUAGCUCUGGGAUAAGCCUGGGAAGCUGGGUCUAAUACCGGAUAUGACCUCGCGGUGCAUGUUGCGGGGUGGAAAGCCUUGUGCGGCUAGGGAUGGGCCCGCGGCCUAUCAGCUUGUUGGUGGGGUGANGGCCUACCAAGGCGACGACGGGUAGCCGGCCUGAGAGGGCGACCGGCCACACUGGGACUGAGACACGGCCCAGACUCCUACGGGAGGCAGCAGUGGGGAAUCUUGCGACAAUGGGCGAAAGCCUGACGCAGCGACGCCGCGUGAGGGAUGACGGCCUCGGUUGUAA
rnacentral:rRNA from 1 species